ensembl:lncRNA
GUGCCACAGGGUAGAAGCAGCAAGAUUAUUAGCUACCAGGACCCGUCCCCUAUAAGACAGCUGGGGCAACACCCAUUUCCACCUUGACAGUCUGGCACACACUUUCUCCACUACACCCUCCCAGAUCUUUUUUUGAAAGACAUCGGAGCCUAGAAAAACCCCCAAAGUCUUCAUUCCAUCUCUGCCCCACUGAAGCCCCCCUGGUAACCGUGGAGUGGACCCCAUCUGAAGCUGACCUGCCCACAGCGCUUCACUCUUUCCCCAAUUGACUUUAGCUGAGGAGGCCCCCUCAUACACCUUUAAAGUGUUUGAGAGAACCUUAACAUCCUCACCCCCUGUAAUAAAAACUAUCACGUCAUCUGCAUACGCAGACAGUGCUAUCGUGAGACCCUUCAUACACCUGGCACAGAGAAACCAGUAAGCUUCGCUCUUAAAAAACAAAGCAUUGGUUCAAUCGCCAGACUAUAUAACUGCCCUGAAAUUGGGCAUCCCUGCCUGAUGCCCCUUUCGACAGGGAUGGGGCAACUUAAACCACCACCCACCUUCACCAUACACGAGGCUCCAGCAUACAGUAAAUUCACCCAAGACAGAAAAACAUACCCAAACCCAAAGGCUUUCAUUAUUUUAAACAAGUACUGGUGGUCCACACGAUCAAAAGCCUUCUCCUGAUCCAACGAAAGUAAACCCACAUUUACAUCAGACAGUUUACAAAUGUCUAAAACAUCUCUUAUCAGAAACAAGUUGUCAACAAUAGAGCGAUCAGGUACACAGUAGGACUGGUCCUUGUGGAUCAACAACCCCAGAUACUCUUUCAACCUGUUUGAGAGACAUUUAGAAACAAUUUUAUAUUCUGCGCACAGCAAAGCAACAGGUCUCCAAUUUUUUAUGAGAGCCAAAUUUUUGGCAACAGUGAAAGCACUGCACGUUGACAGGAUACAGGAAGAGAACCCUCAUGAAAAGAUUCACACAUCACUUCAUAAAAGUCCUCCCCAAUAGACCCCCAAAAGUGCUUAUAAAACUCAGAUGGUAAAUCAUCGAUGCCAGGGGCUCGGGCCUGUUGAGAGCUGCAUAACUGCUGUGGACAGCUCCUGCAGUGUAAUGUCAGCGUCCAAUGCGACUCUCUGCUCAGGUCCCAAUUUAGGAAGACCAUGUAACAACUGUUCAGUACACAUAGAGUCACAAUCCUCCGCCUAAUAAAGGGAUGAGUAGAAAUCCACGGCAUGUUGACGCAUUUCAAUAUCAUUUGUGGUCACUUUCCCAUCAGGGAGACGAAGGCAGACCAUCUGUUUACGUUGAAAUGUCGACUGUCCUAGGUUAAAAAAAAGCACUAGGAGCAUCCAUAUCCUUGAGGGAAGCGAAACGAGACCUAAUCAAGGCACCCUUCACUCUUUCAUGCAGAAACGACCUCAGUUCAUGUCUCUUGUCCUGUAAGUUCAUGACUAGUCCAGGGUCAUUCUGAGUGAGCAGCUUCAAUUCAAUAGAUUUGAUGUCCUGUUCAAGGGCCUUGAUAGUCUCUUUAAAUUCAGUUUGAGACAGAGCAGUAUACUGUUGACAAAAACUCGUAUUUGGGCCUUCCCAACCUCCCACCAUUGUCUCAAGGACUCAAAAUUCCCUUUUAUACCCCUCCAUUUUUCCCAAAACAACAAAAACCUGUCACAAAACAUGACAUCAUGUAACAAUUUAACAUUAAAAUACCAGUAAGGUGAUGACCUUCGUGGACAGGACAAGUGAAUAUCAACAGUAACCAUAUGAUGAUCAGAGAAACCCACAGGAGUAAUGGCACACUUUCCAACCCUACUACAGUGUUGCUCAGAUACAUACAACCUGUCUAACCGUGCUGCACUGACACGACCUUCAUUAACUUUUAGCCAUGUGUACUGCCUAACUUUGGCAUUCCUUACUCUCCACACAUCAGAAAGCUCAAACUCAGUUAAUAGGCCAGACAGGCAAGUGGCUGACCGCAGGUGAGGUUCUUCAGCAGUGCGAUCAACAGUAAAAUCCACUGUACAGUUCCAGUCACCCCCUAAAACCAUACACCCCUCUUGAUCACACUGUCUUAACGUUUCCUUUAGUUGAUCAAAUACAGCAAUACGCUCUGUACCCUCAUUAGGAGCAUAAACAUUCAAAAAAACAAACAAAAACCCCAUAACAUCCACCUUGACCAAUAAAACCCGACCCUUGACAAUCUCUGUUGUAGCUACCACAGUCACCCCUAAGCCUGAGGAAAACAAUAUUGCCACCCCAGCACUGAAAUUAGUACCAUGUUUGUAUAUGUUUGUAUAUAAUUAUAUUAGAGAAUGUUUGAAAUAUCACUUCUAAGAAAGGAAAUCAGUAGAGGUCAAAUCAUAAGCGGGGUAACAACGUUGAACUUAAUCGAACUGGUAUUCAGGCUUGCCAUUUUAAGUGUACUCAUAAGUUACCAGUCAAAUUGCCAAGGUCAGCUGCUACUCAUUUUAUUUCUGUGAUGCCAAUAACAGUAGGCCACCAUUUUGAUGGGAAGCAUAAUCUUACACCACACCAGCACUGCAGUAACUGCACAGCAUGAGGCCUUAUGGGGUUGCUGCAUUGAACUGAAUAUUCUGUUCCCUCAUCAUUUCAUAGAGAUCCUUGCACUCAUACAGUAGUACAUUUCCUCAUAGGAGGUCUGUGAUUGACACGUGUAAUAGUGUGUCUGGUCAUACCCAUGUGAAUGUACACGCUCCCAGACACACACACAUACACGUGCACACAGACAAAACACGCACACCUCACACAUGCUGUGCUUUCUCCAUAGAGAUUACACAUUCUGCCCUCCUUCUAUUUUAGCCUUGACUUAGGCUUCAGACCAAAUGACUCUUUAUAUCCGUAUUUAGUACAUUACUUUUCAUCUGAGGGCCCACAGGGCUCUGGUCAAAAGUAUAGAAUGAUAUAGGGAAUAGGGUGGUGGCAAUUGAUUGUCCAGGUCCUGGUGAUGAGGGUUAUAAUGGGGUCUAGUCCAGGUGAUGAGGGUUAUAAUGGGGUCUAGUCCAGGUGAUGAGGGUUAUAAUGAGGUCUAGUCCAGGUGAUGAGGGUUAUAAUGAGGUCUGGUUCAGGUGAUGAGGGUUAUUAUGAGGUCUGGUCCAGGUGAUGAGGGUUAUAAUGAGGUCUGGUCCUGGUGAUGAGGGUUAUUAUGAGGUCUGGUCCAGGUGAUGAGGGUUAUUAUGAGGUCUGGUCCAGAUGAUGAGGGUUAUUAUGAGGUCUGGUCCAGGUGAUGAGGGUUAUAAUGAGGUCUGGUCCUGGUGAUGAGGGUUAUUAUGAGGUCUGGUCCAGGUGAUGAGGGUUAUUAUGAGGUCUGGUCCAGGUGAUAAGGGUUAUAAUGACGUCUGGAUAUGGUCCUGGGGAUGAGAGUUACAAUGAGGUAUGUUCCUGGGGAUGAGGGUUUUAAUGAGGGUUGGCCCUGUGGAUGAGGGUUAUCAAAUGAAAUUAUUUAUAUAGCCCUUCUUACAUCAGCUGAUAUCUCAAAGUGCUGUACAGAAACCUAAAACCCCAAACAGCCUAAAACCCCAAACAGCAAGCAAUGCAGGUGUUGAAGCACGGUGGCUAGGAAAAACUCCCUAGAAAGGCCAAAACCUGGGAAGAAACCUAGAAAGGAACCAGGCUAUGAGGGGUGGCCAGUCUUCUUCUGGCUGUGCCCGGUGGAGAUUACAACAGCAUUUGGCCAAGAUGUUCAAAUGUUCAUAAAUUACCAGCAUGGUCAAAUAAUAAUCAUCACAGUAGUUGUCGAGGGUGCAACAAGUCAGCACCUCAGGAGUAAAUGUCAGUUGGCUUUUCAUAGCUGAUCAUUAAGAGUAUCUCUACCGCUCCUGCUGCCUCUAGGGAGUUGAAUACAGCAGGUCUGGGACAGGUAGCACGUCCGGUAAACAGGUCAGGGUUCCAUAGCCGCAGGCAGAACAGUUGAAACUGGACCAGCCGCACGGCCAGGUGGACUAGGUACAGCAAGGAGUCAUCAUGCCAGGUAGUCCUGAGGCAUGGUCCUAGGGCUCAGGUCCUCCGAGAGAGAGAAAGAAAGAGAGAAGUAGAGAGAGCAUACUUAAAUUGACACAGGACACCGGAUAAGACAGGAGAAGUACUCCAGAUAUAACAGACUGACCCUAGCCCCCCGACACAUAAAUUACCACAGCAUAAAUACUGGAGACUGAGACAGGAGGGGUCAGGAGACUGUGGCCCCAUCCAAUGAUACCCCGGACAUGGCCAAACAGGCAGGAUAUAACCACACCCACUUUGCCAAAGCACAUCCCCCACACCACUAGAGGGAUAUCUUCAACCACCAACUUACCAUCCUGAGACAAGGCAGAGUAUAGCCCACAAAGAUCUCCACCACGACACAACCCAAGGGGUGC